GAACCGUCCAAACGUUAUUCGGGAAUUACUGGGGCUUAAAGGGUGCGUAGGCGGCGCGACAAGUCAGAUGUGAAAUCCCUCGGGCUCAACCGAGGAAUUGCGUUUGAAACUGUCGUGCUUGAGGGAGACAGAGGUGAGCGGAACUGAUGGUGGAGCGGUGAAAUGCGUUGAGAUCAUCAGGAACACCGGUGGCGAAGGCGGCUCACUGGGUCUCUUCUGACGCUGAGGCACGAAAGCUAGGGGAGCGAACGGGAUUAGAUACCCCGGUAGUCCUAGCUGUAAACGAUGAGAACUUGAUUGAAGACCCUCCCAUAGGUUUUCGGUCGAAGCGAAAGUGUUAAGUUCUCCGCCUGGGGAGUAUGUCCGCAAAGGAUG
rnacentral:rRNA from 1 species